GGAAUACUGGACAAUGGGCGAAAGCCUGAUCCAGCCAUGCCGCGUGAGUGAUGAAGGCCCUAGGGUUGUACAGCUCUUUUGUGCGGGAAGAUAAUGACGGUACCGCCAGAAUAAGCCCCGGCUAACUUCGUGCCAGCAGCCGCGGUAAUACGAAGGGGGCUAGCGUUGCUCGGAAUCACUGGGCGUAAAGGGUGCGUAGGCGGGUUUUUAAGUCAGGGGUGAAAUCCUGGAGCUCAACUCCAGAACUGCCUUUGAUACUGAGAACCUUGAGUAUGGGAGAGGUGAGUGGAACUGCGAGUGUAGAGGUGAAAUUCGUAGAUAUUCGCAAGAACACCAGUGGCGAAGGCGGCUCACUGGCCCAUAACUGACGCUGAGGCACGAAAGCGUGGGGAGCAAAC
rnacentral:rRNA from 1 species